rnacentral:rRNA from 1 species
UUUCAGUUUUAGACAGUUAGGAGAACCUGUGUUAUGUUUCUAAAACUACAUGGACAUGAAACAUAGAAAUAGCAUAUACUACUACAUAUUUCAAGUUCUCAACCUUCACGUAAAUUUCUAUGCCUUCCACGGGAACCUAGAAUAUUAUGAGAAAGUCCAGUUUCACCCAGGAAUUUUAUCAAACACCUUCAGGAUCUUAUAGUAGUGUUAACUAAGUUCACGUGACCAAGAAAAAGAAAACUCAGGUUUCACGUGUUGAAGAUUCAUACUCCUAUUAAAAAUUCACAAUUUGCUUAGUAAUCCAAUUUCGGGUGUGUUUGGUACGAAGGAAAAUAUUUUCUAAUUUUUUCAUAUUUGAUUGGUUUAAAUAUUUUGGAAAAUAUUUUUCCCAUGAACUCAUUUUCUUCUAAUUGAAAGAAAAUGUUUUCCCUAAUUGGAAGGAAAAUAUUUUCUAAUUUGGGUUUGUGUNAUUUCCGGUGGAGCGGUGAAAUGCGUAGAGAUCGGAAAGAACACCAACGGCGAAAGCACUCUGCUGGGCCGACACUGACACUGAGAGACGAAAGCUAGGGGAGCGAAUGGGAUUAGAUACCCCAGUAGUCCUAGCCGUAAACGAUGGAUACUAGGCGCUGGGCGUAUCGACCCGUGCAGUGCUGUAGCUAACGCGUUAAGUAUCCCGCCUGGGGAGUACGUUCGCAAGAAUGAAACUCAAAGGAAUUGACGGGGGCCCGCACAAGCGGUGGAGCAUGUGGUUUAAUUCGAUGCAAAGCGAAGAACCUUACCAGGGCUUGACAUGCCGCGAAUCCUCUUGAAAGAGAGGGGUGCCUUCGGGAACGCGGACACAGGUGGUGCAUGUCUGUCGUCAGCUCGUACCGUAAGGUGUUGGGUUAAGUCCCGCAACGAGCGCAACCCUCGUGUUUAGUUGCUAUCUUUGAGUUUGGAACCCUGAACAGACUGUCGAUGAUAAGCCGGAGGAAGGUAAGGAUGACGUCAAGUCAUCAUGCCCCUUAUGCCAUAGGCGACACACGUGCUACAAUAGCCGGGACAAAGGGUCGCGAUCCAGCGAGGGUGAGCUAACCCCAAAAAUCGAUCCUCAAUUCUUAUUGUAGGCUGCAACUCGCCUGCAUAAAGGCGGAAUCGCUAGUAAUCACCGGUCAGCCAUACAACGAUGAAUUCAUUCCCGGGCCUUGUACAUACUGGCUGUCACACUAUGGGAGCUGGCCAUGCCCGAAGUCGUUAUCUUAACCGCAAGGACGGGGAUGCCGAAGGCAGGGCUAGUGACUGGAGUGAAGUCGUAACAAGGCAGACGUACUGGAAGGUGCGGCUG